UACGGAGGGUGCGAGCGUUAAUCGGAAUUACUGGGCGUAAAGGGUGCGUAGGUGGUUGAUUAAGUUAUCUGUGAAAUUCCUGGGCUCAACCUGGGCAGGUCAGAUAAGACUGAUUAACUCGAGUAUAGGAGAGGGUAGUGGAAUUUCCGGUGUAGCGGUGAAAUGCGUAGAGAUCGGAAGGAACACCAGUGGCGAAGGCGGCUACCUGGCCUAAUACUGACACUGAGGCACGAAAGCGUGGGGAGCAAACAGG
rnacentral:rRNA from 1 species